CCUACGGGGGGCAGCAGUGAGGAAUAUUGGUCAAUGGACGGGAGACUGAACCAGCCAAGCCGCGUGAGGGAGGAAGGUACAGAGUAUUGUAAACCUCUUUUGUCAGGGAACAAAGACUGGGACGCGUCCCCGGAUGAGUGUACCUGAAGAAAAAGCAUCGGCUAACUCCGUGCCAGCAGCCGCGGUAAUACGGAGGAUUCGAGCGUUAUCCGGAUUUAUUGGGUUUAAAGGGUGCGGAGGCGGUCCGUUAAGUUAGGGGUCAAAACCCGGGGCGCAACCCCGGGCUCGCCGUUGAAACUGGCAGUCUAGAGUUGGGGAGAGGUAUGCGGAAUGCGCGGUGUAGCGGUGAAAUGCAUAGAUAUCGCGCAGAACUCCGAUUGCGAAGGCAGCAUGCCGGCUCCACACUGACGCUGAGGCACGAAAGCGUGGGUAUCGAACAGGAUUAGAUACCCGGGUAGUC
rnacentral:rRNA from 1 species